AUUGAACGCUGGCGGCAGGCUUAACACAUGCAAGUCGAGCGGGGGAAGGUAGCUUGCUACUGGACCUAGCGGCGGACGGGUGAGUAACACGUGAGUAACCUGCCCCUGACUCUGGGAUAAGCGUUGGAAACGACGUCUAAUACUGGAUAUGACUACUGGUCGCAUGGCCUGGUGGUGGAAAGAUUUUUUGGUUGGGGAUGGACUCGCGGCCUAUCAGCUUGUUGGUGAGGUAAUGGCUCACCAAGGCGACGACGGGUAGCCGGCCUGAGAGGGUGACCGGCCACACUGGGACUGAGACACGGCCCAGACUCCUACGGGAGGCAGCAGUGGGGAAUAUUGCACAAUGGGCGAAAGCCUGAUGCAGCAACGCCGCGUGAGGGAUGACGGCCUUCGGGUUGUAAACCUCUUUUAGUAGGGAAGAAGCGAAAGUGACGGUACCUGCAGAAAAAGCACCGGCUAACUACGUGCCAGCCGCCGCAGUAA
rnacentral:rRNA from 1 species